AGCAGCCGCGGUAAUUCCAGCUCCAAUAGCGUAUAUUAAAGUUGCUGCAGUUAAAAAGCUCGUAGUUGAAUUUCGGGACUAAUAUGUCGGUCGUGCCUCGGUACGUACUGGUAUUUUUGGUUUCUCCCUUCUGACGAACCUUGAUGUCAUUAAUUUGGUGUCUUGGGAAAUCAGGACUGUUACUUUGAAAAAAUUAGAGUGUUUAAAGCAGGCUCACGCUUGAAUACAUUAGCAUGGAAUAAUGAAAUAGGACGUUUGAUUCUAUUUUGUUGGUUUCUAGGAUUGACGUAAUGAUUAAUAGGGAUAGUUGGGGGCAUUAGUAUUCAAUUGUCAGAGGUGAAAUUCUUGGAUUUAUUGAAGACUAACUACUGCGAAAGCAUUUGCCAAGGAUGUUUU
rnacentral:rRNA from 1 species